UACGGAGGAUCCAAGCGUUAUCCGGAAUCAUUGGGUUUAAAGGGUCCGUAGGCGGUUUAGUAAGUCAGUGGUGAAAGCCCAUCGCUCAACGGUGGAACGGCCAUUGAUACUGCUGAACUUGAAUUAUUAGGAAGUAACUAGAAUAUGUAGUGUAGCGGUUGAAAUGCUUAGAGAUUACAUGGAAUACCAAUUGCGAAGGCAGGUUUACUACUAAUGGAUUACGCUGAUGGACGAAAGCGUGGGUAGCGAACAGG
rnacentral:rRNA from 1 species